CAGACAGAUAAUAUGAAGCUCCAUAAAAUUGUUCCUGUCUAAAAGAACUGCAGGAACAAAAAUGGAGAAGAGACUGAGAGCAAAGAGGUCCAGUGACAAGUCCAAUUUGAGAACCAUCUCAAAGGGAGGAUCCAAGAUCUAACACUGUUACUAAUGCUACAGUGUGCUUACAGACAGGAGCCUAGCAUGACUGUUUUGUGAGAGGCCCAACAAGCAGCCCACAGAGAACAGGCUACAUUCAUUUAAGAAAUGGUGUGUGUAUUAAGAUGGUCUCUCCAUGAAUUCAUUCACCGUUUCAAUGAAGAAUGGUUCUGCUUGGAGGAUGACACAGAUGUCAGGGGUUUACCCAGAAGAGGAGUAUAUUUAUUAAUCCACUGACCUGUUGCUGAGACUCAAAUGCUAAAUACAUUGUUAAGAGAACAAAGCUACAAUAAGCUCAAAGAACAAACAUCAAACACUUCUCAAGAAGCAUGUACCCAGGAGGCAUUUUGCUUUGUCACAAUACAGAUUUCACAGCCUCUCUGAUGGGAGAGCAGACUUGCCUGCAGCCUCAGAGAACAACAGGAUGGUGAUUUGCUGUGCUCCUCUACCUCCUCCUCUGGAAUUGUUGCCUCACUGCAGGAGUGACAAUGGUGUAUCCUUGGCAGCUGAAAAUUGGCCCUAGAACAGAGGGCACUUUGCUCUCUAGGUCUGAAGCUCUGAUAUCAAGAUGGUGAUAAAUUCAGAUUCAGACUCCAUUAAACCUGAGUAGAGCAAGCCAGCAGGUGGCUGUACUAAUGGAAAAUCCUGGCUUUGGAAUAAUGGGAAUUGCAACCGACAGCUCUUCUACGCCACAAAGAAGAUGAUUGGCUCUGCUGCUUCAAAUGUUUAAAGCAGAGGGUCAAAGGCUUUCUUUGAGAAGAUGAACUCAUUCAAAACAAGACCAAUACACCAUUCCAGAGAGGACUUCAUAUUCAGCUCUUCAUAUUUUCUUCAGUGGUUAAAAUUAUGAAUUAGAACCUAAGUGCUUUCAAGUAACAAACAGAGAUGACAUUAUGAGAUGAUAUUAUAAAUAGAUUCUGGAUGGGCCAGAAAUUCCUGAUCUUUCCAAGACUUUUAACAUGAAGGGAUA